rnacentral:rRNA from 1 species
GAUGAACGCUGGCGGCGUGCCUAAUACAUGCAAGUCGAGCGAACGGACGAGAAGCUUGCUUCUCUGAUGUUAGCGGCGGACGGGUGAGUAACACGUGGAUAACCUACCUAUAAGACUGGGAUAACUUCGGGAAACCGGAGCUAAUACCGGAUGAUAUUUUGAACCGCAUGGUUCAAAAGUGAAAGACGGUCUUGCUGUCACUUAUAGAUGGAUCCGCGCUGCAUUAGCUAGUUGGUAAGGUAACGGCUUACCAAGGCAACGAUGCAUAGCCGACCUGAGAGGGUGAUCGGCCACACUGGAACUGAGACACGGUCCAGACUCCUACGGGAGGCAGCAGUAGGGAAUCUUCCGCAAUGGGCGAAAGCCUGACGGAGCAACGCCGCGUGAGUGAUGAAGGUCUUCGGAUCGUAAAACUCUGUUAUUAGGGAAGAACAUAUGUGUAAGUAACUGUGCACAUCUUGACGGUACCUAAUCAGAAAUCCACGGCUAACUACGUG